UUUUAAAAAUAAUUUAUUUUAAAACGUAUUUUUAAUUAAAAAUAGUUUUUAUUUGAUUAAUUAAUUUAAAAGUAUUUUUGAAUAACAAUUAGUAUUUUAUCAAACUUUUAAAAAAUGCUUUUAUAUUUAUUUUUCUCAAAAGUACUUUUAAAAAAAAUAUUUUUGAAUAAAAAUUAUCUUUUUAGUUUUUGAAAAAUUGCUUUUAUUACUCCCUAAAAAUAUUUAUUUUCUUCCAAAAAUUUAAUCAAAUGCCUCACUUUUUUAAAAAAAUAAGCGCGAAAAAAUAAGUUUGGCCAAACGGGCUCUUGGUUCUCUUUCUUCUUCAAUUCCGGUGGUCUCUUCUUCUUCUUCUUCACUAUUUCUGUGGUGUCUUAACACUUUCUUCUACUUCUCUGGUCUUCAUUCCUUCAAAGAGAAUUUCCUCAAACGAAGAUAUUGUGGUGCGUAGAGCUGAAGAGAUUAAGGAACAACGACGAUCUGAAAGAAAGCAAAGAUUAUUCAGCUGGCCACUGCGGUAUGAUCUACGCAAGGUUAGUGAGUAUCAAUUUGAUCACUUCCUACACUUUUUAUAUCUAUUUGAAGCAUCAGAUGGUAACAUUAUAUUUGGCUCAACUUUAUGUUUACAUUCAGCAUAUGUAACUUUGCACUUAACUUUAUAUGUUAUUGUCACCAGCUCAUGAUACAAAUAAGUGCUAAGCAUAAAUGUGAAAAAUUGCUCUUUGAAGCAUCUGCAUAUACCAUCUAGCCCAUCUAUUCUCCCACCACCACAUAGUAUUACCUGGGGAAUUUUCAAAGUCUGAGCGGCUAUAUGCUUUUCUAGGUCCUCUUUAAAGUUAAUCCUGUUUCUGGUUUGAGUUUUAAAAAUGUGUUCAAUGUUCAAGCCAAUGCCUCAGACUUUGUAGCCUAAAUACUAAGUUAACAGAUGUUUUAUAACACCAGAAAAAGACUAAUAAAAACGGCUGGAAAAGAAGAAUAAUUCCAUCGCAGCCGGACUAUAUGGGAAAAACACCGAGAACAAAUUAAUAAUUUCCUUCCUCAAUUUAGCAGAAUAGCACGUCUACCUUGAAAGAAAACCAAAUUAAGGAAAAGAGAAUAAAACUCAUAACCCAAAAGAAUAGAAGCACAUAGAUCAAAGAAUUGCUGGAAAAGAGAACAAAUGAAAUAAUUGCUGGAAAAGAGAAGACAAAGAGACAACAAUUGAUCAACAGCACCUAAAACUCGAGCUAGCUAGAAGUAGGCUAAUUAUGUAAUCUUAUCAUUUAGGUGUAUAAUUUGUUAAAAAAUAUACCACUUUAAUGUCCUUUUCGCGCAAAGCAUGUUAUGCUUUCGCUGUUUGCUCUUUGUUAGCUUGAUUUGACACCUAUUGCCAUAUUUCUCUUGAUAAGAAUUGAAUGUUUGCAAGUACAACUGCUUGCAAUAGAUUUAUCAGGCAAAAGUGCUUCAACGCCUUUGAAAAUAUUGAUUCCAACAUUUUCAACCAGCAUCAACGUUGUUGGUGAUCAGCCAUGACAAUUACUUGCUUUGACUGCUGAUUACUUUUUUGUAUAGAAAUAUUUGCCUUUAGAUGUGAAUUCCUUUUUAAUGAAUCUUUCUUUCACAACGGGAAGUAGGAAUAGUUUUAAUUUGUAUGAUUCUUUGUAGCCGGAAUUUAACUUUUUGCUACUUUUUCUUUCAAGUGUCUACAGUUUUAUAUCUAAUCCGCCUCGAUCUUAAAUCGAAACUUGAAAUAUUCAAGCUUCCUUUCCAUGAAUCUAACCAGUCAACUACAAUGAUCAUUUACAAUCAUUUUAUUAUCAUGCCAAAUUCUCAAAAUUGCAUGAUAAUUUGCCAUGCCAAUUUCUCAAGAUUGCAUGAUAAUUUGCCAUGCCAAUUUCUCAUCAAGGAAAUAUUAUUAUAUUGAAUUUCUCUUGCAAUGUCUCUCCAAGACUUCUAGGAAUUUUUCUAUAAAUAGGCAUAUGUUUGUAGAAGAAAAAAAACCAAUCUUUCAUCUUAUUUGUAUCCAAGAGUGAAGAGGACACAAGAACUAGUCUUGGUGUCUCUCUUGGCUCUUUCUUGUAGUAAAAAAAAUAUUCUAUUAGUCUUUAUUUGUAUUUAGUCUUCUACUCCAUAAUGGGGUAAGUUUCCUUGGUUGGGAUACUAGAUGAAGCUUGACGAAGCUAUUAUAAUAAAUAUCUUUAUUUUAUUA